rnacentral:rRNA from 1 species
UGAGCCAAGUUUAGGGUUUCUUAAAAACCCAAAGAUGUUUGAACUGAAGAGUUUGAUCAUGGCUCAGAUUGAACGCUGGCGGCAGGCCUAACACAUGCAAGUCGAGCGGAUGAAGGGAGCUUGCUCCUGGAUUCAGCGGCGGACGGGUGAGUAAUGCCUAGGAAUCUGCCUGGUAGUGGGGGACAACGUUUCGAAAGGAACGCUAAU